rnacentral:lncRNA from 1 species
UGCUUCAGUCUUCUGAGUGCUGACCUUAUAGAACUGAACCUCUGGGUCUGGCUGCUGCUUUCAUUUUCCAGGUGUCUGGGGCACUAAGGUCAAGGCACAGAGCUGCCUAGUAGCUGAGCUGGGAUUUGAACCUAGCCCGUAGGGUUCCAGGGCUCUGUAUUCUUACCUCCUGCACUAUGUUGUUUGCUAUACUGGGUGUUGGGAGGCUCCUGCACUAUGCUGGUUAUCUGUUGGUGGGUCCUGGGAAGCCUUUUCUCUAUCCAAGUCUAGCUUAGACUUGGGCUUUGCUAGUGCAUGGGCCCUGCAGCAAUCUUGUAAUCAGGGUUGUGGGAGCCUGGAAAGCUCCCCUAGAAGCCUAUGCCCAAACCUGUACCUCCCCUUAGAGUUGGGACCUUUACAAGUCCGUCUGCGGAAGGACUCCAGUUUCUGCACAGACUUCAGGUUGUGUCAGAGGAAACAGACAUACAAAGUCUCCAAGCCUGAACUCCAGCUGUCUUUGCUUGAAGCUCCUAAAGCCCUCUUGGUACUAAGGCCCUUCUCUGAAGCUAGAGCCUUGCUGUAGCUUGUACACUUUAGAAGACUCCCUCGCUGACACUGGAUCCUCAGAGAAAUGCCAGCGAUUGACCAAAUCCAGUGGCCCUUCUGCUGUAGACCUGGGUUUCCUCAAAGGAAGGACCACUGGGUAGGGUGUCAAAUGUGCAGUCCCUAUUUCCAAAAGCUGUCAGAAGAGGCCAUUGGAUUGCCUUCAACUGGGAAUGGUUGUGAACCAUCAUUCCAGAACACAUAACACAUAUAUUCAGCUGCUGCAAUGAGGAUCUAGAAAGACUCUCAAAGCUCCGAGUUAAAGGCUUCUAGUUUGGCACUACUGGACCACGGUGGAAACUUGAGGAGGUGGACCCUGGUGAGAAGGCUUUAUGUCUUUGGAAAGUGACCUCCAAGGAAGUUUUAGGAUCAUAGUCUGUUUCUGCAGUGAGAGGCAGUACUGUGAAAAUAGCUCUGACAUUCAGAGACUGGAACUUUUGCUGGGCUUCAGAGACAGUUCAAGUGAUGCACCCUGAAGUCACUUGAAGCUUGGAGUUAUUAUUCCUAGUGGGUUCUGUUGUUUAAUUGUGUCACAUUGUUUUGCCUUGAAGAGAACAAUGUAACGACCAACCUUACUUGCUGGGGAUUUCCCAUGUGAUAAACUCUUACAACCUAAACUGAUGCACAGCAGUAAUCUUAAAUUAUGUACCCUCCCAAGAGACCCAGAGAGCAACGUAUAUGUGUUUAUAUGUGUGCUGUGUCAGCUAUUUGUUGAAAGCAACAUAUAGGUUGAAAAGCAGCCUUAUAAAACAAAUAUCACCUGUAAGUGCUGGCUGAAGCAUUUGGAUAUUUUGUGAUGGUGUUUGUUUGUUUGUUGUCUGGGUCGGUUGGGGUCGGUUGGAAUCAGUGACUUAAUCCCUUGUAAAACUGUGUUAAAGAUUUC